UUCGCUUCUGGGCCCUUUUUGGCUAAGAUCAAGUGUAGUAUCUGUUUUUAUCAGUCUUAUCAGUGGAUCAGGCACCACUGAUGUGUGACUGGUGAGGAUGGGUGCUGCAUGGAGGGGGUUGGUUUCGGUAGAAUCAGCUCAAUGGCGGCCCUGAUUUUACCUGUUCCCUCCAGGUCUUGCCAUGAGGCU